GGAUCCGCUGUCCCCAAAUUGGGUGUCCCUCCAAUAGUUUGUUGACACAUGUUAACUAACUUAACAGAGAGUUAUUAACUCUUCAUGACAAUUUUAAAAAAUAAAAAAUAAAAAAAACCAAAUUACGACGUCGUAUGCAAGAGAGCAGUACUUGCGUCUUCUCCAUUCUCCACCCUCCCUCAAACUCAGGUUGUUCAUUCGUUGCAUCUCCAGUCCAAUGCCCUUGUCUAUGUUCUACCACAAUAGGCCGA
rnacentral:lncRNA from 1 species